AGUAAACUCUGGCAACUGGCGAAUUUUAUGUUAUGACCACCCAAUUUAGGAAUCCGUAGUAUUUACUCAGUGAUAUAAGUUUAUAUAAUUAUGCAUUAGCCCCCAUAAGAAUCAAAGACUUAUAAGAAAAGGAGCCUCAAGUCCCAUUCAUGUCUGACAAAUUUUAUUUUGAGAAUCACUGCUUUAGAACUAUCUGCCCCUAUUACUUGCCUGACGCUAUUCUUGGAGCAACAAGUACUUAGUGCCAGGCAUCUUGAAACGUCAGUGUGCAGUUAUCUAAUCAUAUUGAUAUUCUGGUGGUGAUUAACAUGUUAUAUAAUCUUUCUGUGCCUUUCUUGAUGGGGUCAGAUUCUACACCACACAAGUCACAGAAUUCCAAAAAGCUAUUGUGAGAAUAAAGCUAAAGCCAACAAAAGGAUGAG
rnacentral:lncRNA from 1 species